rnacentral:rRNA from 1 species
UACGUAGGGUGCAAGCGUUGUCCGGAAUUAUUGGGCGUAAAGAGCUCGUAGGCGGCUUGUCGCGUCGGCUGUGAAAACCUGGGGCUCAACCCCGGGCCUGCAGCCGAUACUGCCCGACUAGAGGUAGGUAGGGGAGAUCGGAAUUCCUGGUGUAGCGGUGAAAUGCGCAGAUAUCAGGAGGAACACCGGUGGCGAAGGCGGAUCUCUGGGCCUUACCUGACGCUCAGGUGCGAAAGCUAGGGGAGCGAACAGG